rnacentral:rRNA from 1 species
UACGUAGGCAGCGAGCGUUGUUCGGAAUUACUGGGCGUAAAGAGUGUGUAGGCGGUGCUCUAAGUUCGGUGUGAAAUCUCCUGGCUCAACUGGGAGGGUGCGCCGGAAACUGGAGUGCUUGAGCGUGGGAGAGGAAAGCGGAAUUCCUGGUGUAGCGGUGAAAUUCGUAGAUAUCGGGAGGAACACCUGUGGCGAAAGCGGCUCACUGGACCACAACUGACGCUGAGGCGCGAAAGCUAGGGGAGCAAACAGG